UACGUAGGGACCGAGCGUUGUCCGGAUUCAUUGGGCGUAAAGAGCUCGUAGGCGGCCACUCAAGUCGAAUGUGAAACCUCGAGGCUUAACCUCGAGCCUGCAUUCGAUACUGGGCGGCUAGAGUCUGGUAGGGGGAUCUGGAAUUCCUGGUGUAGCGGUGGAAUGCGCAGGUAUCAGGAGGAACACCGGUGGCGAAGGCGGGAUCCUGGGCCAGUACUGACGCUGAGGAGCGAAAGCGUGGGGAGCAAACAGG
rnacentral:rRNA from 1 species